AUUUUUUACCAAGGCCUGUAGUGACAGGAUAAGGGAAAUGGGUUUAAAUUGAGAAAUGGACAUGCUGCACUGUCAGAUUUAUCAGGGCAGGAUCAUCCUCUCAUUGGACCCAUUGCUUGAACAACCAGGGCAAGCCUGUGAUGGUGUAAAGUAAUUUCCACAGAACUGUAUCAACUCACACCAGCUGAGGUUUGGUCCUUGUACACUGUUAUCAGCAGUCUAUAGCACAUAGUUCUGCCCCUGUGCCAGGCUUGUCAGCCAAACUCAUGACCUGUGACACAUGACAUCAGUUGAGCACAAGGAAAGAGGAAGG